UCUAUCGUUAUAUCUUAUAUUGGUGAAAAGAAAAAAUAAAAAAAUUUAUAGCUAUUUAAUUUUAUUAUAAGAAUUAAAAUGUGCUACAAAUCAAAAAUAAAUCUCUAUUUUAACUUUAACUACCGUGUUAUGUAAACGAUUCACAAUCGUUCUUACGAAAUCUCUUCCAUUUCCAAGAUAAUAAGCGGAUUAUAACGUCACGAGGAUAGUUCUAGUAUCGUUUUACCGUUUGGUCUAUUUUAGGCGUGUCUAUUUUUUUCGCUCUUUCCCACACGAUUUCUCACAUAUUUACGAGCAUCGUGACACAAUAAGCGUUUGCCUCGAAUCAACGGCACACAUUGCUCCCUGUAAUAAUGCCCUUAACCGGCAACAGAUGGCAUUUCGAAUGCUCGAAACCGCGAUACCCAUUAUCCAAACUCUGAACAAAUUAAAAUCUACGUUUCUCGAUCUACGAAUCGUUAAUCUUCCAUCCUCGAAAUCAUCGACAGACGUCAUCCACUAACCCAUCAUUAAUUUAGAAAACCCAUCCUCCGUUUAUUAACGACAACAACUCGAAAAACGACUGAAACCGUAUCAACCGUACAUCGUCCGACGAACGACCGGUGUGGCACUCCCACAUUCAGAAUCGAGACGCGCUCGUUCAUCAUCCUAUCGAGGCAAAAAGAGGAGACAGUUCUCUAAUCGAUACAUCUCGGUUGAACGUAAAGAGAGAAAUGGAUUUUAUAGCCGCGUUAUCGACCUAGAUUAAAAGCGAAACGUCAUUCGGCCCCAGUGACUUAUGACUCGACUUUUCUCGACUUUGUUCUGGCAUUCGUUCGCGACUAACGAGCACCAUGCUGCUCCUGAUUGAUGCCGGAUCGACGUUUCUCAAAAGAGCAGAACGGACGGAGCAGGUCGGAGGCAUAGCGAAAGCGGGAUCACUCGGUGCUAUUUUAUCUCCUCUCUUCUAAUUUCUCGUCCAUGGGUAAUUAGACGGACAACGUCUAUGUCAUUAAGGGUAUUCGAAGAGUUACGAGAGUCGUGCACCGAGGUCGGAUGGCGCAACGGAUAAUGGCGACGCUCGGGUUAAAUUGAAGACUCCUGGCUUAAUUGGGGCUGGUGAACGAGGGAAAGAUAGCGGAGGUUUCGUUUAAGAAGCUAGAUGGAUGUCUGAAAAUUAAAAGAGUCGAAAGGUUUUCUUUUUUCAAAAUAAAUUGAGAACAUAUCGAUUGAUUUGUAACAACGUUGAUAAAUAUUUUUGUACGCACAAUUUUGGAAACGGUACGAAUCUUCGAUCCUCUGGUAUGAAAUUUAUUUUAAUAAAACAAUUUCGAGCAUUA